GAUGAACGCUGGCGGCGUGCUUAACACAUGCAAGUCGAACGAAGCACCUUAUUCUGAUUUCUUCGGAAUGAAAAAUUAGGUGACUGAGUGGCGGACGGGUGAGUAACGCGUGGGUAACCUGCCUCAUACAGGGGGAUAACAGUUAGAAAUGACUGCUAAUACCGCAUAAGACCACAGCACCGCUCGGUGCAGGGGUAAAAACUCCGGUGGUAUGAGAUGGACCCGCGUCUGAUUAGGUAGUUGGUGGGGUAACGGCCUACCAAGCCGACGAUCAGUAGCCGACCUGAGAGGGUGACCGGCCACAUUGGGACUGAGACACGGCCCAAACUCCUACGGGAGGCAGCAGUGGGGAAUAUUGCACAAUGGGGGAAACCCUGAUGCAGCGACGCCGCGUGAGCGAUGAAGUAUUUCGGUAUGUAAAGCUCUAUCAGCAGGGAAGAAAAUGACGGUACCUGACUAAGAAGCACCGGCUAAAUACGUGCCAGCAGCCGCCGCAG
rnacentral:rRNA from 1 species